GAUAAACGCUGGCGGCAGGCCUAAUACAUGCAAGUCGGACGGGAUUGGAGAGCUUGCUUUCCAUGAGAGUGGCGCACGGGUGCGUAACACGUAUGUAACCUACCCUUGUCAGGGGGAUAGCCUCUCGAAAGAGAGAUUAAGCCCGCAUAACAUUGAGACAUAGCAUUAUGAUUCAAUCAAAUAUUUAUAGGACAAGGAUGGGCAUGCGGAACAUAGCUAGUUGGUAAGGUAAUGGCUUACCAAGGCUACGAUGUUUAGGGGAUCUGAGAGGAUCGACCCCCCACACUGGUACUGAGACACGGACCAGACUCCUACGGGGGCGUGCAGUAACGAAUCUUCCGCAAUGCACGAAAGUGUGACGGAGCGACGCCGCGUGUAGGACGAAGCCC
rnacentral:rRNA from 1 species